GCUAGGGGGGAUGCGAAGGCGAGAGAAAGAGAGCGAGGAAAAAUGGAAGGGGCGAGAAGGAAAUAGCUAUUUCUUUCUCGCCCUUCCCAUUUUUCCUCGCUCUCUUUCUCUCGCCUUCCCAUCCCCCCCCCUA